rnacentral:piRNA from 1 species
UACAUGGGUAUAAUGUAUUUUGGUUA